AGAUGAACGCUAGCUACAGGCUUAACACAUGCAAGUCGAGGGGCAGCAUGGUCUUAGCUUGCUAAGGCCGAUGGCGACCGGCGCACGGGUGAGUAACACGUAUCCAACCUGCCGUCUACUCUUGGACAGCCUUCUGAAAGGAAGAUUAAUACAAGAUGGCAUCAUGAGUCCGCAUGUUCACAUGAUUAAAGGUAUUCCGGUAGACGAUGGGGAUGCGUUCCAUUAGAUAGUAGGCGGGGUAACGGCCCACCUAGUCUUCGAUGGAUAGGGGUUCUGAGAGGAAGGUCCCCCACAUUGGAACUGAGACACGGUCCAAACUCCUACGGGAGGCAGCAGUGAGGAAUAUUGGUCAAUGGGCGAGAGCCUGAACCAGCCAAGUAGCGUGAAGGAUGACUGCCCUAUGGGUUGUAAACUUCUUUUAUAAAGGAAUAAAGUCGGGUAUGGAUACCCGUUUGCAUGUACUUUAUGAAUAAGGAUCGGCUAACUCCGUGCCAGCAGCCGCGGUAAUACGGAGGAUCCGAGCGUUAUCCGGAUUUAUUGGGUUUAAAGGGAGCGUAGAUGGAUGUUUAAGUCAGUUGUGAAAGUUUGCGGCUCAACCGUAAAAUUGCAGUUGAUACUGGAUAUCUUGAGUGCAGUUGAGGCAGGCGGAAUUCGUGGUGUAGCGGUGAAAUGCUUAGAUAUCACGAAGAACUCCGAUUGCGAAGGCAGCCUGCUAAGCUGCAACUGACAUUGAGGCUCGAAAGUGUGGGUAUCAACAGGAUA
rnacentral:rRNA from 1 species